UACGUAGGGGGCAAGCGUUGUCCGGAAUCAUUGGGCGUAAAGCGCGUGUAGGCGGCCAGGUAAGUCCGUUCUGAAAGCCCGGGGCUCAACCCCGGGAGGCGGAUGGAUACUGCUUGGCUCGAGUCCGGAAGAGGCGAGUGGAAUUCCCGGUGUAGCGGUGAAAUGCGCAGAUAUCGGGAGGAACACCAAUGGCGAAGGCAGCUCGCUGGGACGUUACUGACGCUGAGACGCGAAAGCGUGGGGAGCAAACAGG
rnacentral:rRNA from 1 species